rnacentral:rRNA from 1 species
GGGGAAUAUUGCACAAUGGGCGAAAGCCUGAUGCAGCAACGCCGCGUGAGUGAUGACGGUCUUCGGAUUGUAAAGCUCUGUCUUUUGGGACGAUAAUGACGGUACCAAAGGAGGAAGCCACGGCUAACUACGUGCCAGCAGCCGCGGUAAUACGUAGGUGGCAAGCGUUGUCCGGAUUUACUGGGCGUAAAGGAUGUGUAGGCGGAUACUUAAGUGAGAUGUGAAAGCCCCGGGCUCAACCUGGGGACUGCAUUUCAAACUGGGUAUCUAGAGUGCAGGAGAGGAAAGCGGAAUUCCUAGUGUAGCGGUGAAAUGCGUAGAGAUUAGGAAGAACAUCAGUGGCGAAGGCGGCUUUCUGGACUGUAACUGACGCUGAGGCUCGAAAGUAUGGGGAGCGAAC